UACGGAGGGUGCAAGCGUUAAUCGGAAUUACUGGGCGUAAAGGGUGCGUAGGUGGUUCGUUAAGUCCGUUGUGAAAGCCCCGAGCUCAACUUGGGAAUUGCAGUGGAUACUGGCAGGCUGGAGUACGGUAGAGGAAGGUGGAAUUCCCGGUGUAGCAGUGAAAUGCGUAGAUAUCGGGAGGAACACCAGUGGCGAAGGCGGCCUUCUGGACCAGUACUGACGCUCAUGCACGAAAGCGUGGGGAGCAAACAGG
rnacentral:rRNA from 1 species